rnacentral:lncRNA from 1 species
CCGUCAUGACCUCCACUAGAAUCUUUUUAAAAUUUUUUUUCUAAAAGAUCUCACCACACACAAAUCAGAUUUUAUGUUCAACACAUGAACAAUCUGAUUUUUAGGACAAGUAUCUCAUACUUUUCUUUUUCUCUCUUCCUUUCCUUUCUAUUUUUCUCUCCCUAUUUUUCUUAUCUUUUUCAAAAUUUUUUCUAUCAAUUUCCUCUCAUUUCCACACCCAUCUAUAGUCAAAAAUAGCAUGU